rnacentral:rRNA from 1 species
AGGUAAUCUACCCCAGAGUCUGGAAUAACCGGCCGAAAGGCUGGCUAAUACUGGAUAGAGCGACGGAAUCCGUAAUUGGGUUUUUCGGGAAAGGGAGGAAGCAAUUCCCUUCGCUCUGGGAUGAGCCUGCGUCUCAUUAGCUAGUUGGUGGGGUAAAGGCCUACCAAGGCAUUGAUGGGUAGCUGGUCUGAGAGGAUGACCAGCCACACUGGAACUGAAACACGGUCCAGACUCCUACGGGAGGCAGCAGUGGGGAAUCUUGCGCAAUGGACGAAAGUCUGACGCAGCCACGCCGCGUGAGUGAAGAAGGCCUUCGGGUUGUAAAGCUCUGUCGAGCGGGACGAAAAAUUAUUAGGUGAAUAGCCUGGUAAUCUGACGGUACCGCUAAAGGAAGCACCGGCUAACUCCGUGCCAGCAGCCGCGGUAAUACGGAGGGUGCAAGCGUUGCUCGGAAUUAUUGGGCGUAAAGGGUAGGUAGGUGGUCUCAUUUGUCUGGGGUGAAAGCCUUGAGCUUAACUCAAGAAGUGCCCCAGAAACGGUGAGACUGGAGUCCUGGAGAGGGUCGUGGAAUUCCCGGU